rnacentral:rRNA from 1 species
CAGCAGCCGCGGGAAUACGUAGGGUGCGAGCGUUAAUCGGAAUUACUGGGCGUAAAGCGGGCGCAGACGGUUACUUAAGCAGGAUGUGAAAUCCCCGGGCUCAACCUGGGAACUGCGUUCUGAACUGGGUGACUAGAGUGUGUCAGAGGGAGGUAGAAUUCCACGUGUAGCAGUGAAAUGCGUAGAGAUGUGGAGGAAUACCGAUGGCGAAGGCAGCCUCCUGGGAUAACACUGACGUUCAUGCCCGAAAGCGUGGGUAGCAAACAGGAUUAGAUACCCCUGUAGUCCCUGUCUCUUAUAC